UACGUAGGGUGCAAGCGUUGUCCGGAAUUAUUGGGCGUAAAGAGCUCGUAGGCGGUUUGUUGCGUCGGCUGUGAAAUCCCGAGGCUCAACCUCGGGUCUGCAGUCGAUACGAGCAAACUAGAGUGUUGCAGGGGAGACUGGAAUUCCUGGUGUAGCGGUGAAAUGCGCAGAUAUCAGGAGGAACACCGGUGGCGAAGGCGACAUCCUGGACCGGUAUUGACGCUGAGGCGCGAAAGCCAGGGGAGCAAACGGG
rnacentral:rRNA from 1 species